rnacentral:rRNA from 1 species
GAAAAGAAACCAACAGGGAUUGCCUCAGUAACGGCGAGUGAAGCGGCAACAGCUCAAAUUUGAAAUCUGGCCCUCGGGUCCGAGUUGUAAUUUGCAGAGGAUGCUUCGGGCGAGGCUUUGAUCGAGUCCCCUGGAAUGGGGCGCCACAGAGGGUGAGAGCCCCGUAUGAUCAGCCGCCGAACCCGUGUGAAGCUCCUUCGACGAGUCGAGUAGUUUGGGAAUGCUGCUCUAAAUGGGAGGUAAAUUUCUUCUAAAGCUAAAUACCGGCCAGAGACCGAUAGCGCACAAGUAGAGUGAUCGAAAGAUGAAAAGCACUUUGAAAAGAGAGUUAAAAAGCACGUGAAAUUGUUGAAAGGGAAGCGCCUAUGACCAGACUCGGGCUCUUGGGAUCAUCCGCCCUUCUGGGCGGUGCACUCCCUCGUUCUCGGGCCAGCAUCGGUUCUCCUCGGGGGAUAAAGGCGCCAGGAACGUGGCUCCCUUCGGGGAGUGUUAUAGCCUGGCGCGUCAUGCUCCGGGGGGGACCGAGGACCGCGCUUCGGCAUGGAUGCUGGCGUAAUGGUCACCGGCGACCCGUCUUGAAACACGGACCAAGGAGUCAAGCAUUAGGGCGAGUGUACGGGUGUAAAACCCGAACGCGCAGUGAAAGCGAACGCUGGUGAGAGCUUCGGCGCAUCACCGACCGAUCCUGAAGUCUUCGGAUGGAUUUGAGUAGGAGCCUUAACGCUUGGACCCGAAAGAUGGUGAACUAUGCCUGAAUAGGGUGAAGCCAGAGGAAACUCUGGUGGAGGCUCGCAGCGGUUCUGACGUGCAAAUCGAUCGUCAAAUUUGGGCAUAGGGGCGAAAGACUAAUCGAACCAUCUAGU